rnacentral:misc_RNA from 1 species
GAUGAAGAACUUAGUGAAAUGCGAUAAUUAAUGUGAAUUGCAGAAUUCCGUGAAUCAUCGAGUCUUUGAACGCACAUUGCGCCUCAUGGCAUUCCGUGAGGCAUGCCCAUCUCAGCGUUAGAAAAUAUUCUCAAAUUUUAGUUUUGUGCUAAAAUUUGGAUCAUGUCAAGGAAGCUAUUACUAUUAUUGUGAUCGCUCUUUGGAAAUUGAUAGGUCUUUGAGUUGCUACUCAUAGAACGUGAUGAAUCUUUCUUCGUUCUAUUGUAAUUCACUCUGGUAGUCCUAAAACUUGUAUGCCUGUGGCAUAUCUUGUAAUUUGACCUGAGAUUGGGUAGGGAUACCCGCUGAACUUAAGCAUAUCAAUAAGCGGAGGA